rnacentral:rRNA from 1 species
AGAGGGCCGGGCACACGAGGGGGACUGCCGCCGCUAAGGCGGAGGAAGGAGCGGGCUACGGCAGGUCAGUAUGCCCCGAAUCCCCCGGGCCACACGCGAGCUGCAAUGGCAGGGACAAUGGGUUCCGACCCCGAAAGGGGGAGGAAAUCCCGAAACCCUGCCUCAGUUGGGAUCGAGGGCUGCAACCCGCCCUCGUGAACAUGGAAUCCCUAGUAAUCGCGGGUCAUCAACCCGCGGUGAAUACGUCCCCGCCCCUUGCACACACCGCCCGUCGCUCCACCCGACUGAGGCCUAGACGAGGCGUGGUUUCUUGGCCGCGUCGAGUCUAGGCUUCGGGAGGGGGGAGAAGUCGUAACAAGGUGGCCGUAGGGGAACCUGCGGCCGGAUCACCUCCU